rnacentral:rRNA from 1 species
AAUAGAUACCCAGGUAGUCCACGCCGUAAACGUUGGGCGCUAGGUGUGGGGCCCAUUCCACGAGAUCCGUGCCGCAGCUAACGCAUUAAGUUCCCCGCCUGGGGAGUACGGCCGCAAGGCUAAAACUCAAAGGAAUUGACGGGGGCCCGCACAAGCGGCGGAGCAUGCGGAUUAAUUCGAUGCAACGCGAAGAACCUUACCAAGGCUUGACAUACACCGGAAUCACUCAGAGAUGGGUGCGUCUUCGGACUGGUGUACAGGUGGUGCAUGGUUGUCGUCAGCUCGUGUCGUGAGAUGUUGGGUUAAGUCCCGCAACGAGCGCAACCCUUGCCCUAUGUUGCCAGCGGGUAAUGCCGGGGACUCGUAGGAGACUGCCGGGGUCAACUCGGAGGAAGGUGGGGACGACGUCAAGUCAUCAUGCCCCUUAUAUCCAGGGCUGCAAACAUGCUACAAUGGCCGGUACAGAGGGCUGCAAUCCCGCGAGGGUGAGCGAAUCCCAAAAAGCCGGUCUCAGUUCGGAUCGCAGUCUG